UGCUGGUCCAUCUAUAAUGUUAACACUAGACUCAGGUUGUUGGUCCAUCUAUAAUGUUAACACUAGACUCAGGUUGUUGGUCCAUCUAUAAUGUUAACACUUCCUCCUCUCCUCCUGUCCCCCUGUCCUCCUCUCCUCCUGUCCCCCUUCCUCCUCUCCUCCUGUCCCCCUGUCCUCCUCUCCUCCUGUCUCUCCGUCCUCCUCUCCUCUUGUCCCCCUGUCCUCCUCUCCUCCUGUCCCCCUGGCCUCCUCUCCCCCUGUCUCUCCGUCCUCCUCUUCUCUUGUCCCCCUGUCCUCCUCUCCUCCUGUCCCCCAUCCUCCUCUCCUCCUGUCUCUCCGUCCUCCUCUCCUCUUGUCCCCCUGUCCUCCUCUCCUCCUGUCCCCCAUCCUCCUCUCCUCUUGUCCCCCUGUCCUCCUCUCCUCCUGUCCCCCUGUCCUCCUCUCCUCCUGUCCCCCUGUCCUCCUCUCCCCCUGUCUCUCCGUCCUCCUCUUCUCUUGUCCCCCUGUCCUCCUCUCCUCCUGUCCCCCAUCCUCCUCUCC
ensembl:lncRNA